CUCUUCCUCUCUGCGUGCUCUUUCAGCUUCCUCAGAAAACCCGCUGAUAGUUUCUCUAAGGUUAUGUUCCAAUACAGUAUUCGACACUCCCCCUUAAAAAUUGAUGUUUUGUUGGAAUCUGUCAGCUCACCAGUUGAUCAAGAAAGCACAGCUUGUGAUGUUGAGAUGGAUGGUUGAUUGAGCAAGCUCUCUGGAUUGCAUCAGUUUUUUUAUCCUGAGUGCAAUGUUAAAGUUUUCACAUUAAAUUUUUGGUUCAUUAGGAUGCAUGUUUCUGUGAAAGCUUCAAUAAUUUAUAGAGGAUUCAGAAGAUUGACGCGCACCACACGUACCGAGACACAGUUGUAAUAACCAUACCUAAAUUGUAAUCUGUAAAUGAAAUUUCUUCUGCCCAGAUGGGUGAGUUGUGCAUACGCAAUAAUGUUAU